rnacentral:rRNA from 1 species
UUUUUGUUUUCAACGGAGAGUUUGAUCCUGGCUCAGGACGAACGCUGGCGGCGUGCUUAACACAUGCAAGUCGAGCGGAAAGGCCCUUCGGGGUACUCGAGC